UUCUAUAUUUCAAUUGAAGCCUCACUCCUUUUUUCUUCUCUCUGCAAGUACAGUCACAAUAUUUCUUUUACAGCUCAACCGUUUUAGUACAGCUUAUGUUUGCUUUUGUGUUUCUUGAUCUGGGUUUUGAUUUGUUUUGGGUUUUAUGCAGGAUUUAUUGAAAUGAAAGAACAGUGGAGACAGAGAAAGCAAACAACACUCACAAACACAAUCAGUCUGAGACAAGCUAGAGAGCUACUUCUUGUAAAAGAAUUGAAGAAUAAUAGAGACAGAAAGCAAACAACUUUGUACAUGAGAUCUGGGGCUGGAAGCUUUUUAAAGGUUCUUCUUACGAACUUUGACUUUCUUGCUCGGGAUUUUAGGCUUAAUAAGUCAGGAAAGCAUUGGAUAUGCAUGCGUGAUAAUUGGAGAAAUUGGAUGCAUUCUACUGCAUAAUUUUGGGUUCUAGUUUUCUUCAGAAAUCUUGGCAGCUUAUCUAGGGUAUGUAUUCUAAUCUCCAAGUCCUCAUUGAAGUGUUCUUGCUAUAAAGUUUAUUUCUUUGAUAAAAAAUUCAAAACUUUAUUAUUGAUGAUAAUUGGGGUUUUAGGACAUGGUAAUGUCUUUCAGGCCAACUCAAUAAUGACAUUUUUAUUUUUGGUAUCUUUUUCUUGUUAAGUUUUCAUCGACUGUCCAGUUGGAUGAACAGGCUGAACUGUUAGCUUUUGAGCAAGUAUGGUGAAAGUAGCUUAUAAUGACGUCUAGGUCUAUGUUUCGUGUGUUUGGUGUUUGUGUUCUUAAUUCGCCCCUGGGUGGAUCAACCAAAAAGCAUGUCCUCAAGGAUACAUUGCAACCCAAACUAAGAGUGUGUUUGGUAUUGUGGUUGCUGUUGUGGUUGUGGUUUGAAAAAAGUUGUUUUAUAAAAAGUACUUUUAGUUGAGGUUGGUUUGAAAAAAUAUAUGUUUGGUUAAAACUGUGGUUAAAACUGAGGUUGAGUAAAAAGUAGUUUAAUGUGUUUGGUUAAAAAAAUGCUUUUCAAAUUAAGGUUAUAAAAUAAUUAAUAUAUAUAUUGAAUGUUUUUAAUUUA